rnacentral:rRNA from 1 species
UACGUAGGGGGCAAGCGUUGUCCGGAAUUAUUGGGCGUAAAGAGCUCGUAGGCGGUCUGUCGCGUCUGCUGUGAAAACUCAGGGCUUAACCCUGAGCUUGCAGUGGGUACGGGCAGACUAGAGUGCGGUAGGGGAGACUGGAAUUCCUGGUGUAGCGGUGAAAUGCGCAGAUAUCAGGAGGAACACCGGUGGCGAAGGCGGGUCUCUGGGCCGUAACUGACGCUGUGGAGCGAAAGCAUGGGGAGCGAACAGG